AAGAUCGCAAGUGGUGACGAGUUAGAUGGUUUGGGGGGCUGUUUUAUAUCAAAACCCAAUUCAGUACUACUGUU
rnacentral:ribozyme from 16 species